CGGCUAUCGAGGAGGGGAUGACACUUCCUUUUGCCUACAAAUUGACACACCUAUCGACCACUUGACCCAUUAUCGGUUUCCAGGUCACAGAGAGGACAAAGGAGAGAGGACGAUCUUUUGUCCAAACGAGAAUCUCCCAAGGAAAUGGACAUAGUGAUCAAUUCCUAGUUCAUGAGGAAUGACUGUGUGGGGUCCUACACUUGAUGAUGCCAUCAUCCGUGAGAUGCACUCCAUCCCUACAUUAAUGCCCAAGGACACAGUGCUUUAUGGCAGAGUGGCUGAUUGUGGCCAUGCGCUUGUCACAGAGAAAUGCAAGGUGGCCCAUGUGGAACUGACAAACAACUUCAAAUCAAAUGUUAUUUGUCACAUGCGCCGAAUACAACAGGUGUAGACCUUACUGUGAAAUGCUUACUUACAAGGCCUUAACCAACAAUGCAGUUCAGAGAAAUAGAGUUAAUAAAUAUUUACUAAAUAAACUAAAGUAAAAAAAUCUAAUCAACUAUGUGUGUGUGUGUGUGUAUAUAUCUAUAUAAAUAUUUACAUAACAAUAACGAGGCUAUAUACAGGGGGUACCGGUACCGAGUCAAUGUGCGGUGGUACAGGUUAGUCAAGGUUAUUUGUAAAGCGACUAUGCAUAGAUAAUAAAUAGCGAGUAGCAGCAGUGUAAAUACAAAGGUGGGGGGGUCAAUGUGAAUUGUCUGGGAGGCCAUUUGAUUAGUUGUUCAGCAGUCUUCUGGCUUGGCGGUUAAGGAGCCUUUUUGUCUAGAAUUUGCACUCCGGGUACCGCUUGCCGUGCAGUAGCAGAGAAAACAGUCUGUGACUUGGGUGACUGGAGUCUUUGACAAUUCUUUGGGCCUUCCUCUGACACAGCUAGUAUAUAGGUCCUGGAUGUCAGGAAGCUUGGCCCCAGUGAUGUACUGGACCAUACGCACUACCCUCUGUAGCGCCUUACAGUCAGGAGGCUCUCGAAGGUGCAGCUGUAGAACUUUUUGAGGAUCUGGGAACCAUGCCAAAUCUUUUCAGUCUCCUGAAGGGGAAAGAAAAAGUGUUGUCGUGCCCUCUUCACAACUGCCUUGGUGUGUUUGGACCAAGGCAGUUGUAAGUAAGCAAGUUUGUGAUGUGGACACCAAGGAACUCGACCCACUCCACGUCAGUCCCUUCGAUGUUAAUGGGGGUCUGUUCGGUCCUCCUUUUCCUAUAGUCCACGAUCAGUUCCUUUGUCUUGAUCACAUUGAGGGAGAGGUUGUUGUACUGGCACCACAUUACCAGGUUCCUGACCUCCCCUCUAUAGGCUGUCUCAUUGUCCGUGAUCAGGCCUACCACUGUUGUGUCGUCAGCAAACUUAAUGAUGGUGUUGGAGUCGUGCUUGUCCAUGCAGUCGUGGCUGUUCCAGAUCUGUGAGUACCCCCAAAUAUGCCAUUUAUAAAUGGUGACGUAUGCUCUUUUACUGGAGUUGGACAGCAGUGUACAGCAUUACCUGGGACAUUUGUAGUUUUUUAGUCAAGGAUUUAGAGCACCUAUCCAAUUUCAGACUUGUAAAUGUCUCUAAUGUUUCUUAAGAGUGUUUUACUUGUCUAAUGACUGUAUUUUACGGGUAUUUCUAAGCAGUUUGUCAUUUGUUGCAGUGUUUGUAUCAAAAUUGCUG
rnacentral:lncRNA from 1 species